UACGGAGGGUGCGAGCGUUGUCCGGAAUCACUGGGCGUAAAGGGCGCGUAGGCGGCUUCUCAAGCGUGUGGUGAAAGUCCGGGGCCCAACCCCGGAUCGGCCGUGCGGACUGGGGAGCUCGAGUUCUGUAGAGGCGGGUGGAAUUCCGGGUGUAGCGGUGGAAUGCGUAGAGAUCCGGAAGAACACCGGUGGCGAAGGCAGUGUCCUGGGUGGUCGCUGACGCUGAGAGGCGAAAGCCAGGGGAGCGAACGGG
rnacentral:rRNA from 1 species